rnacentral:rRNA from 1 species
AACGAACGCUGGCGGCAGGCUUAACACAUGCAAGUCGAGCGCCCGCAAGGGAGCGGCAGACGGGUGAGUAACGCGUGGGAAUCUACCCAGUUCUACGGAAUAACCCAGGGAAACUUGGACUAAUACCGUAUACGCCCUACGGGGGAAAGAUUUAUCGGAAUUGGAAGAGCCCGCGUUGGAUUAGCUAGUUGGUGAGGUAAUGGCUCACCAAGGCGACGAUCCAUAGCUGGUCUGAGAGGAUGAUCAGCCACACUGGGACUGAGACACGGCCCAGACUCCUACGGGAGGCAGCAGUGGGGAAUAUUGGACAAUGGGCGCAAGCCUGAUCCAGCCAUGCCGCGUGAGUGAUGAAGGCCUUAGGGUUGUAAAGCUCUUUCAGUGGGGAAGAUAAUGACGGUACCCACAGAAGAAGCCCCGGCUAACUUCGUGCCAGCCGCCGCAGUAA